CCCUUAGAGUUUGAUCCUGGCUCAGAACGAACGCUGGCGGCGUGCUUAACACAUGCAAGUCGAACGUGAAAGGGGGCAACCCUGAGUAAAGUGGCGCACGGGUGAGUAACACAUAGGAACGUACCUACGGGUGGGGAAUAACGACGGGAAACUGUCGCUAAUACCGCAUAACAUCGAGAGAUUAAAGGGGGCGCGCGCAAGCAGCUCUCGCCUGUAGAUCGGCCUAUGUCCCAUUAGCUAGUUGGUGAGGUAAAUGCUUACCAAGGCGACGAUGGGUAGCUGGUCUGAGAGGAUGAUCAGCCACACUGGAACUGAGACACGGUCCAGACUCCUACGGGAGGCAGCAGUGGGGAAUCUUGCACAAUGGGCGAAAGCCUGAUGCAGCAACGCCGCGUGGGUGAAGAAGGUUCUUGGAUUGUAAAGCCCUUUCGGCUAGAAAGAAGGGUUUCUAGGUUAAUACCCUAGAGAUCUGACGGUACUAGAAGAAGAAGCACCGGCUAAUUCCGUGCCAGCAGCCGCGGUAAUACGGAAGGUGCGAGCGUUGUUCGGAUUGAUUGGGCGUAAAGCGCGUGUAGGCGGGUUUGUAAGUCGGAUGUGAAAGCCCUAGGCUUAACCUAGGAACUGCAUCUGAAACUGCGAAUCUUGAAUACUCGAGGGGUUGGUGGAAUUCCAGGUGUAGGAGUGAAAUCCGUAGAUAUCUGGAGGAACACCGGAGGCGAAGGCGGCCAACUGGCGAUGUAUUGACGCUGAGGUGCGAAAGCGUGGGGAGCAAACAGAUUAGAUACCCUGGUAGUCCACGCCGUAAACUAUGGAUACUAGUGUUGGGACAUAACCUCCUGAGUACAAAGCUAACGCAUAAGUAUCCCGCCUGGGGAGUACGUCG
rnacentral:rRNA from 1 species